CCUACGGGGGGCUGCAGUGGGGAAUAUUGGACAAUGGGGGCAACCCUGAUCCAGCCAUGCCGCGUGUGUGAAGAAGGCCCUCGGGUUGUAAAGCACUUUCAGUGAGGAAGAACGCCUGGUGGUUAAUACCCAUCAGGAAAGACAUCACUCACAGAAGAAGCACCGGCAUAACUCCGUGCCAGCAGCCGCGGUAAUACGGAGGGUGCGAGCGUUAAUCGGAAUUACUGGGCGUAAAGCGCGCGUAGGUGGCUUGAUAAGCCGGUUGUGAAAGCCCCGGGCUCAACCUGGGAACGGCAUCCGGAACUGUCAAGCUAGAGUGCAGGAGAGGAAGGUAGAAUUCCCGGUGUAGCGGUGAAAUGCGUAGAGAUCGGGAGGAAUACCAGUGGCGAAGGCGGCCUUCUGGACUGACACUGACACUGAGGUGCGAAAGCGUGGGUAGCAAACAGGAUUAGAUACCCGGGUAGUC
rnacentral:rRNA from 1 species